rnacentral:lncRNA from 1 species
ACUCGCCCACCUCCUGAGAUCUUAUCCGGAAGCUGCUGAUCACCAGCUUUAGAGUCUCGCUCUAUCGCCCGGGCUGGAGUGCAGUGGCACGAUCUCAGCUCACAGCAACCUCUGCCUUCUGGGCUCAAGGGAUUCUCCUACCUCAGCCUCCCAAAUAGCUGGGAUUACAGUCCCAAGAAUAACACAAGAAAUUCUCCAAGUUUCCAAGAAGGGAAGAUGGAGUGGAGGGCGCCCACCCUAUCUCCAGUGGACAUCCCCUGGGCUACUCCUCUCCUGAUGAGAAAAUGCUCACUUCAGCCAAGUGCAGAAUGGUCCCCUUUGUUUUCGUGGGUAUCAGUGGAGAAUGAGAUCCUUCAUAUGGAAUCUCCCUGUGUUGCUCAGGCUGAUCUCGAACUCCUGAGCCCAAGCAUGCAUCAGCCUCUCAGUAGCUGUGAUUACAGGCAUUGAGUCACCACUCCUGAGAAAUAACAGGACUUUGGUGCUAUUCUCCAAGCUGAAAGCCAUCCUCUUCGGCCCUGAGGACACAGCUUUUUCUGCCAUAACUCACUGUCUCCACUGGCUCAAUUAGCCAAUUAGUGGCAUUGUAGAGGGCUGAGAUGUUACUUUUUAGUUUCCAAUAAAAUUCUCAAGUUG